rnacentral:tRNA from 1 species
CAAAGGAUAGUUUAAUUAAAAUAAUAGUUUUGGGAAUUAUUGAUAGAACUUUUAUCUUCCUUUGA